rnacentral:rRNA from 1 species
UACGAAGGGGGCUAGCGUUGUUCGGAAUCACUGGGCGUAAAGGGCGCGUAGGCGGUCCCUCAAGUCAGGCGUGAAAGCCCCGGGCUCAACCUGGGAACCGCGCUUGAGACUGAUGGGCUAGAGUUCGGGAGAGGAUGGUGGAAUUCCCAGUGUAGAGGUGAAAUUCGUAGAUAUUGGGAAGAACACCGAUGGCGAAGGCAGCCAUCUGGACCGACACUGACGCUGAGGCGCGAAAGCGUGGGGAGCAAACAGG